rnacentral:rRNA from 1 species
CCUACGGGAGGCAGCAGUGAGGAAUAUUGGCCAAUGGACGAGAGUCUGAACCAGCCAAGCAGCGUGAAGGAUGACUGCCCUAUGGGUUGUAAACUUCUUUUAUAUGGGAAUAAAAUGUUCCACGUGUGGGAUUUUGUAUGUACCAUAUGAAUAAGGAUCGGCUAACUACGUGCCAGCAGCCGCGGUAAUACGGAGGAUCCGAGCGUUAUCAGGAAUUAUUGGGUUUAAAGGGAGCGUAGGUGGAUGGUUAAGACGGUUGUGAAAGUUCGCGGAUCAACCGUGAAAAGCCAGUUGAGACUGGAAGAAUAGAGUGAGUGAGAGGGGAGUGGAAUUCAGAGUGUAGCAGUGAAGUGCGUAGAUAUGUGGAAGAAUAGAGAGGGAGAAGGAAGCCAAAUGUAAGGGAAAUGAUGCUGAUACAAGAAAGAGUGGGGAGCAAACAGGAUUAGAUAGAACUGGAGGC